rnacentral:sRNA from 1 species
CCCAGCGCUAUGCGCUGGGCUAACAUAUUGCACUCCUUCAGAGCU